rnacentral:rRNA from 1 species
GUGCCAGCCGCCGCGGUAAUACGGAGGAUGCAAGCGUUAUCCGGAUUCAUUGGGUUUAAAGGGUGCGUAGGCGGAAUAAUAAGUCAGUGGUGAAAGCCUGCAGCUUAACUGUAGAAUUGCCAUUGAUACUGUUGUUCUUGAGUAUAGUUGAAGUGGGCGGAAUGUGUAAUGUAGCGGUGAAAUGCUUAGAUAUUACACAGAACACCAAUUGCGAAGGCAGCUCACUAAGCUGUUACUGACGCUGAGGCACGAAAGCGUGGGGAGCAAACAGGAUUAGAUACCCUGGUAGUCCACGCUGUAAACGAUGAUCACUCGUUGUUGGCGAUACACCGUCAGCGACUGAGCGAAAGCAAUAAGUGAUCCACCUGGGGAGUACGGUCGCAAGACUGAA